rnacentral:lncRNA from 1 species
CUUUUUUUAAUUAAUAACAAGAAAUGCACAAUAUAACAAAAAAUAAUGCCCUUUAGCUAAUACAUUGCAUAAAACCCAACUAUUUUCCUGAAUAUCAAUUUGACCAUAAAUGUUGGUUUAACUAUACAUAUCAUACCGGCCCAUAUAAUACAAACAGUUCAAUAAAUGAAGACAUUUUAAACUGUGUUAACAUUCAUGACAUUAUCAAGCACCAAUAGGUUAACAAAUCUGCAAUAUUUACAGGCCUGAGCAAAAAUCAAACCAUGACAAAACAGAAGAACGAAAGGAACAUGGAAUAGAUGAAAACAAAUGCAGAAAUUUUGAAAAAAAAUCUAGAGAAAUGGAGGAAAUAAUUAUCAUUUUUAGCACAUCAUGAACACAACUUGUCAAUAUCCCCUUAAAGAUUUAAAAGGUUUCUUUUGAAACUACAUGUAAUAUCAUUUUGCAUUUAAUUCAAAUGAAAUAUUUAACCCCUAAAAUAUUAAGCCUUAAUAUCAUAAUGUGUCAUAUACAUUUGUACACAAGCUAUGUAUAUGACAUAUUAUCUUGUCUUUUUUUCUAUAAAUGUUUUGUCCAUAAAAAAAUAUAAAAAAGGACACAGUACUCUGGUACAUGUUAAUGGUCCCAUCUAAAAUUCAUGGAUUAAAAAAAUACCAUUUGUAUGAUGAAUAAACUGUAUAAGUUGAAAUAACUACAAUGCAUGGCAAUAUUAAACAGAAUACAAUAAAACUGACUAAUAUAUGUAUAUGUAUAACAGAUCUUUCUUCUCUUAAAGAUUGGAAAAAAAAACUAAAAAUUACUACAAAGCAAUAUUAUUUACAUGUAUACAUUAAACAUUUGGAAAGGCCCAUCAAUACUUAAAGCUUCCAAGUACCAUAACAAUGAUAAAAUGAGUUAAUAAGCACCAAGUUUAUAUAUGGGAACACCUUUGGGGGACAGAAAUAUAUAUUUUAUCAUUGACUAGGAGUUAACAUCAUUGUCAACGUAAUACUCCACCAAUUAUCAUCAUUUUGUAUUUGGGGUAAAUGAUGGGAAAAAACAUAUUUACACGAUUUAUGGUAAAUGUUUGCAAAGUCUCACAACUGAAUUUUUAAUACAAUUCCUUACUUUUUUAACUAUUAUCAUGAUUAUAAAUAUAAAAGUGAUAUUUUUCUUAAAUUUAUGAUGAGAACAAAAACUUGCACUGUAAAAGUUUAGCAGGAUUUUUUAUGAAUAAUGAAUGCUGACGUACUUCAUGUACUUAUAUUGUUUCAAGCAAGCUGUUAGACGUGUAAAUAGUAUUUUUGAGAUUUCAAAUUUAUCAAUAUAGAUAACGUCAGUUCUUAUCCUAUUGGACCAUUUCUUUGCUACUUUUCUUUUAAAGACAAAAUGAAAAAAAAAAAAUUGCUAUUAAUAUUUCUUACACAAUAUUCUCAUGAUCAGUAUUCUUGACGUUGUCAUACAUUAUACAUGUACUCAAUCAGUAAAUGUACAUUUUGGACCUAAGACAUAUCAGAAUUGGGAAUGGUAUAACAUACAUAUAAGAAAGUAGCACUACAAGUUUUCAACCCCUAAUCUUAAUCACUAAGCAUGCUAAGCACCUCUUCAAAAAGCACUAAACUGAACUGAACACCAUAUUCAUAUAUAUAUCAUGUAUAUGUUUAUCAUGUUUAUCUACAUGUACAGUAAUACCUACAACAAUUGUAAACAUGGUAAAAGACAUGGUAAAAAUGAUCAUCACUUCAUUUGUAAUAAAAUUUCCAGUUCAAUUUUAAGUUCAAAAUUGAACUUGAAGAAAAGUUGGCAUAUUGAUAAAUUUUUCUUUCUAAUUUUAUAUUAAAAUGUCAGAUAAAUCCCAUAGAUCUACCUAAUCAUGAUGAUCCAUGUAAAAUUUCUGACAUUUAAUACAUAUAUAUAUAUAUAUAUAUAUAUACAUGAUACAGUUCUGUCUUUAUUCAAAUCUUCCUUAAAUUCUAAAACUAUGGUAUAAUCAUUUAUCUUAGCUAUAGGCCAUGGAAAAAUAAUUGAUGGUUUCCAGGUCAUUUUUUUACCGCCGGGUCAUUUAAUUUUUCUGUAAAAGUGUUGAAAAUAUGCAAGAUUAUAGUUCCGCUAUCAAAUGGCUAUAGAAACAAAACAUAUAAAAUUACGCAUGGUUACGAAAAAAAAAAGCCUGCCUGCUGGGUCUUUAAAGUUUUCCCAUGUUAGGGGAAACCAACAAUUAAUUUUCCAUGGUCUUAUCAUUUAGAAGUUAAACUAGGGUAAGACUAUGUACUUUGAUGUACAUGUAGUGCACAUGAUGUACAAAGUGACAUACAUGACAUACAUGUACAUGAAUAUAAAAAUUUAAAUAAACUUUUGACUUUUGUACUGACAUAUCAGUAUAUAUUUAUAUUAUACAUGUAGCAUUGUCUAGCUCUAUGACCAUGAAUUACUGUAUAACAGCAUUUACAUCCUUAUUAUCAUAUACAAAAUGUAUAACUUGGUAACAGUUUACAAUGCAAGACUGCUUUGUAUAACCAUGACAACUGACACAUUUGAUAUUAAAAUAUAUUUGAAAAACAAAACUAGUAAACAGGUUAUGAUAAUCAGAACACAGGAUCAAUGAUAUAUGCAUGAUAUAUAUAUGCAGUCCUGAAUAGACAAAAGAUAAAACGAACUUGAUUUUCAGGAUUAAAAAGUAAAUUUCAUACACAUGUUUAUA